rnacentral:rRNA from 1 species
AUACGGAGGAUCCGAGCGUUAUCCGGAUUUAUUGGGUUUAAAGGGUGCGCAGGCGGGAGAUUAAGUCGGCGGUGAAAUUUUUCAGCUCAACUGUAAAAGUGCCUUCGAAACUGGUUUCCUUGAGUGUAGAUGAAGUAGGCGGAAUUUGUGGUGUAGCGGUGGAAUGCAUAGAUAUCACGAGGAACUCCGAUUGCGCAGGCAGCUUACUAAACUACUACUGACGCUCAGGCACGAAGGCGUGGGGAUCAAACAGGAUUAGAUACCCUGGUAGUCCACGCAGUAAACGAUGAUUACUAGCUGUUUGCGAUACAAUGUAAGCGGCUGAGCGAAAGCGUUAAGUAAUCCACCUGGGGAGUACGUUCGCAAGAAUGAAACUCAAAGGAAUUGACGGGG